GACGAACGCUGGCGGCGUGCCUAACACAUGCAAGUCGAACGGAGAUAUGAUUUCGGUUGUAUCUUAGUGGCGAACGGGUGAGUAACGCGUGAGCAACCUGACUCUUAGAGGGGGAUAACACUCGGAAACGGGUGCUAAUACCGCAUAAGACCACGACAUGGCAUCAUGACGAGGUCAAAGGAGCAAUCCGCUGAGAGAGGGGCUCGCGUCCCAUUAGAUAGAUGGCGGGGUAACGGCCCACCAUGUCAGCGAUGGGUAGCCGAGCUGAGAGGCUGAUCGGCCACACUGGAACUGAGACACGGUCCAGACUCCUACGGGAGGCAGCAGUGGGGAAUAUUGGGCAAUGGGCGCAAGCCUGACCCAGCAACGCCGCGUGAGGGAA
rnacentral:rRNA from 1 species